GGGCAUCCUCCAUUCACGCAGGAACCAGGCAAGCUAUCUACAAAACAUCCAAGGUCUUUUAUAGCAACAGCUGGAAGCAGUCCUCUACCAGGAAAGACACUACCAAGGGUCUGACAUCGACCCCCUAAAAAGAGACUUCCAAUAACACUGG